rnacentral:rRNA from 1 species
UCGGGAAUAUUGGACAAUGGGCGAAAGCCUGAUCCAGCCAUGCCGCGUGUGUGAAGAAGGUCUUCGGAUUGUAAAGCACUUUAAGUUGGGAGGAAGGGUUGUAGAUUAAUACUCUGCAAUUUUGACGUUACCGACAGAAUAAGCACCGGCUAACUCUGUGCCAGCAGGCCGCGGUAAUACAGAGGGUGCAAGCGUUAAUCGGAAUUACUGGGCGUAAAGCGCGCGUAGGUGGUUUGUUAAGUUGGAUGUGAAAGCCCCGGGCUCAACCUGGGAACUGCAUCCAAAACUGGCAAGCUAGAGUACGGUAGAGGGUGUGGAAUUUCCUGUGUAGCGGUGAAAUGCGUAGAUAUAGGAAGGAACACCAGUGGCGAAGGCGACCACCUGGACUGAUACUGACACUGAGGUGCGAAAGCGUGGGGAGCAAACAGGAUUAGAUACCCCGGUAGUCCCUGAGCGGGCUGGCAAGGCGCAU